GUUAAAAAGCUNGUAGUUGAAAUUGUGUCCUGCGGUGUCGGUCUACCGAAUGCGGUACGACAGGCACGUCUGCGGGGCUUCUCGCCGGUGCGUCCACCGCCCCGGCGUGCGUCGGUCGGCCUCGCGGUCGGCCGCGCGCACCCGGGCGGGCCGUCGCGGCUGUUUACUUUGAACAAAUUAGAGUGCUCAAAGCGGGCUAACACUUGCCUGAAUAUUGUACGCAUGGAAUAAUAGAAUAGGACCUCGGUUCUGUUUUGUUGGCUUUCUGAUACCAGAGGUAAUGAUUAAUAGGGACAACUGGGGGCAUUCGUAUUGCGACGUUAGAGGUGAAAUUCUUGGAUCGUCGCAAGACGGACUAAAGCGAAAGCAUUUGCCAAAGGUGUUUUCAUUAAUCAAGAACGAAAGUUAGAGGUUCGAAGGCGAUUAGAUACCGCUGUAGUUCUAACCAUAAAUGAUGCCAGCCAGCGAUCCGCCGAAGUUUCAUAAUUUUAACCCGGUGGGCAGCUCCCGGGAAACCAAAGCUUUCGGGCUCCGGGGGAGUAUGGC
rnacentral:rRNA from 1 species